UGGGGAAUAUUGGACAAUGGGGGCAACCCUGAUCCAGCAAUGCCGCGUGUGUGAAGAAGGCCUUCGGGUUGUAAAGCACUUUUAUCGGGAACGAAACAUUGUCGGCCAAUACCCGGCAAGACUGACGGUACCCGAGGAAUAAGCACCGGCUAAAUCCGUGCCAGCAGCCGCGGUAAUACGGAGGGUGCAAGCGUUAAUCGGAAUUACUGGGCGUACAGCGUGCGCAGGCGGUUUGUUAAGUCUGCUGUGAAAUCCCCGAGCUCAACUUGGGAAUUGCAGUGGAUACUGGAAAGCUGGAGUACGGUAGAGGAAGGUGGAAUUCCCGGUGUAGCAGUGAAAUGCGUAGAGAUCGGGAGGAACACCAGUGGCGAAGGCGGCCUUCUGGACCAGUACUGACGCUCAUGCACGAAAGCGU
rnacentral:rRNA from 1 species